rnacentral:rRNA from 1 species
GACAGAGGGUGCAAACGUUGUUCGGAAUUACUGGGCGAAAGCGUGUGUAGGCGGCUACAUAAGUCGGAUGUGAAAGCCCCGGGCUCAACCCGGGAAGUGCACUCGAUACUGCGUAGCUUGAGUCUCGGAGAGGUUGGUGGAAUUCUCGGUGUAGAGGUGAAAUUCGUAGAUAUCGAGAGGAACACCGGUGGCGAAGGCGGCCAACUGGACGAAGACUGACGCUGAGACACGAAAGCGUGGGGAGCAAACAGG